rnacentral:lncRNA from 1 species
GAACAUAGUCAUCAUAGACUGAAGUUGCUGCUGGAGUUCAUUGUAUUUCCUGUUCUGCUCCGCCUCCCUCGCUGCUGCCUCCGCUCUAAGUUGAGAAAUUUGCUCAUCUGUGCUAGCUUGUAUCUGAACUAUCUGAUCUUUUAACCUCUGAACUUCAGCUUGACUUUGACUCCCGGAAGGCAUGUAUUGGUGCGAGGUGGAUCCAAAAUAUUGGGUCGGGUUAACACCGAAUCCUUGAAAUCUAACCC